GACGAACGCUGGCGGCGUGCCUAAUACAUGCAAGUCGAACGAGUUGCGAACGGGUGAGUAACGCGUGGGUGAUCUGCCUUGCACUCUGGGAUAAGCUUGGGAAACUGGGUCUAAUACCGGAUAGUGCAAGAUGAGCUCGCGGCCUAUCAGCUUGUUGGUGGGGUAAUGGCUACCAAGGCGCGACGGGUAGCCGGCCUGAGAGGGUGUACGGCCAAAUUGGGACUGAGAUACGGCCCAGACUCCUACGGGGGGCAGCAGUGGGGAAUAUUGCACAAUGGGCGGAAGCCUGAUGCAGCGACGCCGGGUGAGUGAAGAAGGUGUUCGGAUCGUAAAGCUCUGUUGUUAGAAAAGCGGUAACUAACCAGAAAGGGACGGCUAACUACGUGCCAGCAGCCGCGGUAAUUC
rnacentral:rRNA from 1 species